UGCUGGUCAGUUGUGCCUAAACUCCCAAGGGAGGAGGGUAUAACAACGCAGAGUGUCCAACCACCCUUCCUGUCUUGGCCUGAACUCGUUUUUCCGGUCUCUUUGGGAUCCCCUUGGCCAUGAGGGGUCUGUUCAGUUUGUUGGGGGCCUUAGAACUUUAGUUUUUGUUUCCAUAUCUUAGGACAUUAUUUUGCCUCAUCCCAGAUCUGUCCUAUUUCCUAAAAUACUGCGCUUUAAAAUAUACCCACGUUAACCCCAGUCAUAAUACAGAUUUUCUCACUCAACAAGACUCAAGUAUGCAGAAGACAAGCUGAUCACAACGAAUCCUACAAAGUGAAUGACUUAUUCAUGAGAUGCUUGCUUUAAGUGGUGAUUGAGGUUAAUCCUCAAAACUGCUCUUGAUUUCCACAGAUUUUUGCCUGGCGUUGAGCAUCCACAGAUCCUCUCAAUGCCCUGUUAUUUCAUUCGGACUUUCCUGGAAACAGAAUCGCCUCCUAUGGCUGAACCAACAGAAGCCAGGUGAUGGGGGAGCCUUUGAUGCAGACAUGGAGGUGACCCUCAAACAAGGCAACAUGACAGUUACCACAGACUCCUCUCAUCCAUCAUGAGAACACUGUGAUAGAAUUGUCUCUUAGGGACGCGGAGGACAGGCUCUGAAAGAGUAUGUACAAAGCCCUAUAAAGCAUAUGGAAGAUUUCAGUAAAGUAUUUUUUAAUAAAUAACACUUGAAUAAGUAUGUUUUUUUAAAA
rnacentral:lncRNA from 13 species